GACGAACGCUGGCGGCGUGCUUAACACAUGCAAGUCGAACGGAAAGGCCCUGCUUUUGUGGGGUGCUCGAGUGGCGCACGGGGCAGUAACACGUGUGUAACCUGCCCUUUACUUUGGGAUCACUUCAGGAAACUGGGGCUACUACCGCAUAUGAGCUCCUGCUCCACGGGGUGGGGCGGAAAGUUUCGGCGGUUGGGGAUGGACUCGCGGCUUAUCAGCUUGGUGGUGGGGUAGUGGCUUACCAAGGCUUUGACGGGUAGCCGGCCUGGGAGGGUGACCGGCCACAUGGGGACUGAGACACCGCCCAGACGCCUACGGGAGGAAGCAGUGGUGAAUGUUGCACAAUGGGCGGAAGCCUGAUGCAGCAACGCCGCGUGCGGGAUGAUGGCCUUCGGGUGGUAACCCGCUUUCGCCUGGGACGAAGCGGGAGUGACGGUAAUGGGUAAAGAAGCACCGGCUAACUACGUG
rnacentral:rRNA from 1 species